GAUGAACGCUGGCGGCAGGCCUAAUACAUGCAAGCUGAACGGUAAAUAUUAUAGCGAUAUGAUAUGAGAGUAGCGUAAGGGUGCGUAACACGUAUGCGAUCUGCCCUGUACAGGAGGAUAGCUCGGCGAAAGCCGGAUUAAUACUCCGUAAUGUUAUUGAGUGGCCUCACUUGAUAAUUAAAGUCGCAAGACGGUAUAGG
rnacentral:rRNA from 1 species